UACGUAGGGUGCAAGCGUUGUCCGGAAUUAUUGGGCGUAAAGCGUCCGCAGGUGGCUGUGUAAGUCUGCUGUUAAAGAGUCUAGCUCAACUAGAUACAAGCAGUGGAAACUACACGGCUAGAGUACGUUCGGGGCAGAGGGAAUUCCUGGUGUAGCGGUGAAAUGCGUAGAGAUCAGGAAGAACACCGGUGGCGAAGGCGCUCUGCUAGGCCGUAACUGACACUGAGGGACGAAAGCUAGGGGAGCGAAUGGG
rnacentral:rRNA from 1 species